rnacentral:rRNA from 1 species
ACGUAGGGGGCGAGCGUUGUCCGGAAUUACUGGGCGUAAAGGGUGCGUAGGCGGCCGAUUAAGUUUGAUGUGAAAUACCCGUGCUCAACAUGGGGGGUGCAUUGGAAACUGGAUGUCUUGAGUACAGGAGAGGGAGGCGGAAUUCCUGGUGUAGAGGUGAAAUGCGUAGAGAUCGGGAGGAACACCAGUGGCGAAGGCGCCUUUCUGGACUGUAACUGACGCUGAGGCGCGAAAGCGUGGGGAGCAAACAG